rnacentral:snRNA from 1 species
GGAUGUGAGGGUGAUCUGACUGCAGCAUCUGUCACCCCAUUGGUCACCAGGGUUGAUUCGACUGAUGUGGCUGGCUAGGUGGGUGUCCUCUUUCUCCCUCACCGCUCCAUGUGCAUCCCUCCUGAAGCUGCACAUUUGGUCUAAGAGGACUAGCUUUCCUGGUAAAGGAGAGCCAUUCUUCAGUCAAGGGUAUAACAACAGCGAUGCCUCCCUGUUACAACUUCCAAACAAGUUUCUCCAAUAAUGAGCUGGUCUGUUACUAUCCUUCAGUGUUU